UGGGGAAUAUUGGGCAAUGGACGCAAGUCUGACCCAGCGACGCCGCGUGAGGGAUGAAGGCCUUCGGGUUGUAAACCUCUUUCAGUAGGGAAGAAGCGAAAGUGACGGUACCUACAAAAGAAGCACCGGCUAACUAUGUGCCAGCAGCCGCGGUAAUACAUAGGGUGCAAGCGUUGUCCGGAUUUAUUGGGCGUAAAGAACUCGUAGGUGGUUUGUUACGUCGGAUGUGAAACUCUGGGGCUCAACCCCAGACCUGCAUCCGAUACGGGCAGACUAGAGUGUGGUAGGGGAGACUGGAAUUCCUGGUGUAGCGGUGGAAUGCGCAGAUAUCAGGAGGAACACCAAUGGCGAAGGCAGGUCUCUGGGCCAUUACUGACACUGAGGAGUGAAAGUGUGGGGAGCGAACAGGAUUAGAUACCCUGGUAGUCCACACCGUAAACGAUGGACGCUAGUUGUGGGGACCUUCCACGGUUUCUGCGACGCAGCUAACGCAUUAAGCGUCCCGCCUGGGGAGUACGAUCGCAAGAUUA
rnacentral:rRNA from 1 species